rnacentral:snoRNA from 1 species
CCAGUGUGGCUGUCUGGGAGCUCACUCUCCCUGGGCUCUGUACAGGUGGUGCAGGAGAGCACAGGGCUUAACCCGUGAUGUACAGUGCCUUUUCAUGAACAUGGAGAUGAAGUUGGGUUGCAUAUUGUUACAGCUUCUCUGAGUCCUGUGGUACUAUGACUGAGGAGGCAAACCAGGUUGAAAACAUGU